GCCCUCUGAGGUCCCUUCCGGCCUCGCCUUCGCCUGCCGGGCUCUGGUGGGUCUCCUCUCGGGGGAAGCCUGGGGAACUCCCUGCCCCGGGAGGCGGGAAGGGGAGGGAAGAGAGGCUGGGGGGUCCGGGAGGGAGGCAGAGGGACCUCAGGCCCUGGCCAGGGAGGUGGGACUGGAAGACAGGGAGGAGGGAGAAGGACAUUGGGAGGGAGAUUAUUAUGAGGGAGAAGGAUAUUAAGAGGGACAUUAUUAUGAGGGAGAAGUAUAUUAAGAGGGACAUGAGGGAGAAGGACAUUCGGAGGGACAUUAUUGUGAGGGAGAAGGAUAUUAAGAGGGACAUUAUUGUGAGGGAGAAGGAUAUUAAGAGGGACAUUAUUAUGAGGGAGAAGUAUAUUAAGAGGGACAUUAUUAUGAGGGAGAAGGAUAUUAAGAGGGACAUUAUUAUGAGGGAGAAGGAUAUUAAGAGGGACAUUAUUAUGAGGGAGAAGUAUAUUAAGAGGGACAUUAUUAUGAGGGAGAAGGAUAUUAAGAGGGACAUUAUUAUGAGGGAGAAGUAUAUUAAGAGGGACAUUAUUAUGAGGGAGAAGGAUAUUAAGAGGGACAUUAUUAUGAGGGAGAAGGAUAUUAAGAGGGACAUUAUUAUGAGGGAGAAGGAUAUUAAGAGGGACAUUAUUAUGAGGGAGAAGGAUAUUAAGAGGGACAUUAUUAUGAGGGAGAAGUAUAUUAAGAGGGACAUUAUUAUGAGGGAGAAGUAUAUUAAGAGGGACAUUAUUAUGAGGGAGAAGGAUAUUAAGAGGGACAUUAUUAUGAGGGAGAAGGAUAUUAAGAGGGACAUUAUUCUGAGGGAGAAGGAUAUUAGGAGGGACAUUAUUGUGAGGGAGAAGGAUAUUAAGAGGGACAUGAGGGAGAAGUAUAUUAAGAGGGACAUUAUUAUGAGGGAGAAGUAUAUUAAGAGGGAGAUUAUUAUGAGGGAGAAGUAUAUUAAGAGGGACAUUAUUAUGAGGGAGAAGGAUAUUAAGAGGGAGAUUAUUAUGAGGGAGAAGUAUAUUAAGAGGGACAUUAUUGUGAGGGAGAAGGAUAUUAAGAGGGAGAUUAUUAUGAGGGAGAAGGAUAUUAAGAGGGACAUUAUUAUGAGGGAGAAGGAUAUUAAGAGGGACAUAAUUGUGAGGGAGAAGUAUAUUAAGAGGGACAUUAUUAUGAGGGAGAAGUAUAUUAAGAGGGACAUUAUUAUGAGGGAGAAGUAUAUUAAGAGGGACAUAAUUGUGAGGGAGAAGUAUAUUAAGAGGGACAUUAUUAUGAGGGAGAAGGAUAUUAAGAGGGACAUAAUUGUGAGGGAGAAGUAUAUUAAGAGGGACAUGAGGGAGAAGUAUAUUAAGAGGGACAUUAUUAUGAGGGAGAAGUAUAUUAAGAGGGAAAUACCACGAAGCUUCCCUUCUCUCUCUAUUCAUAAAUCUCUGUAUGUCGUCCAUUUUCCCUCCCUAAUUCUUUUUUUGACUGAAAGUCCAGUUUCCGAGGCGUCUUCCAGGGCAGUUCCACCCAGAGGGCCUUGCCACCGUCCCCUCGGAUCCAGAGCAGGAAGUCCCCAAGGGACGGUGGCUGGAGCUAGACAUGGGCCCUGCUGCUCACCAAGCCACCCAAGCAGAGAUGGCUGGGUUGGGUUGGGGCGAAGCGGGGUGGGGUGGGGGGGACCCCCACUGCUGCCUUGGCUCCAGAUUACACUCACUUGUCAUUCACAGUUAUGACUUCUCCCUCCCCCUUUUUCCCCCAUACAGCUUGGAGUCUGAGCUGUGGUGCAAUCCAGCCCUGGUUCCUAGCAAGACUCAGCCACGCUUCCUCAGGAAACAUUCUUCUCCUCUUCAUCUUACAAUAGAAUAGUGUGUUUGAUUCAUAUGAUUUUCUGCACCUCGCAUUAGUACCCACAGAACUUGGCAGAGGACCAAGGGGCUCCUUCCGAUCUCUUGGAGACUUCCGGAGAGCCCAGAUGGAUGAGGAAGACUCAGCUGGCCCUGAAGCAGGAAGAGGCCAUGCCAUGGAAACGGGGAGCAGUGGGGAAUUCCGGGAAAACUCUGUGAAGAAGAUCCUGGGUGAGGAGGACACCCCUUGCUCAGAGGUGCAGAGCCAGCAGCUCAGGCAGUUCUGCUUCCAGGAGGCCAAAGGACCCCGAGAGGUUUGCAGCCAACUCUACCACCUUGACCAUCAGUGGCUGAAGCCGGAAAGGCACACGAAAGCUCAGAUGUUGGACCUGGUGAUCUUGGAGCAGUUCCUGGCUGUCCUUCCUCUGGAGAUGGAGAACUGGGUGAGGGAAUGCGGAGUGGAGACCAGUUCCCAGGCGGUGGCCCUGGCCGAAGGUUUCCUCCUGAGUCAGGCAGAGGAGAGGAAGCAGGCAGAGCAGCAGGUGAGAGAGACUUUCCUCUGGAUACUCCCAAGGGGCUCCAAAGAGGAGGGAGAGUAUUCCCAAAUCAAUUCCUAAUGGCCCAUCCUUUUUUGGAAAGCAUAUUAUUAUUAUUAUUAUUACACCCAUGUGGCUGGGUGCCUUCCAGCACAUAUAAAAGCAUAAGAAGACAUCAGAUGUCUUCUAAAAGUUAUGCAUUUUCUUAUCUCCUUAUCACCUGAUGGGAGGGCAUUCCCCAGGGUGGGUCCCACUGUGGAGAAGGUCUUCUGCCUGGUUCCCUGUAACUUCACUUAUCACAGUGAGGGAAUCAGCAGAAGACCCUCGGAACUGGACCUCAGUUCAUGGAGACGCUCCUUUGGGUAUACUGGGCCUUUGAGGCCAACACUUUGAAUUGUGCUGGGAAACGUUCUGGGAGCCAGUGAAGAUCCUUGAGGACCAAUGUUUCAUGGUCCUGGCAGCCAACCCCAGACACCAGUCUAGCAGAAGCAGGAAGCAGCUUUCACCUCUGUCCCCCGAAAGCGCUUGCCUCUGCCAUUCCUUCUCUAACCCUUCUCCCCAUUCUCUGUUUUGAAUCCUUGUUGCUCUUUCAGAGGAAGGAUCUUUUGGCAGAAAUGGGUCUUGAUUCUUCUGAGGCAGAGAAGACUCCGCUGGACGCCAGAGUGAGGCCUCUGGGUAAGGAGGAAGGAGUGUUUUCUCCCCCGUUUU